AAACAAACCAAAGAGACAAACAAUGCAGGCACGCGCGCGGUCUGUGUCUAUAAUCCUGUGCUCUGGAAGGUGGGGGAGGGAUCAGAUUCAAGAUUAUCCCUCACUAGCAAGGGCGCUUUAGGCCAGCCUGGGCUACAUGAAACAACAGUUGCAGCGGAGAAAGAAGAAACAGGACCACCUCCACAGCCACCAGGAAGAAGACGGAGAGAACCGCGGGGCCACAUUGCAGCCUCUUGUCACUCUGGCAGGACAUCCAUCCCCUCGGGUUCCUUCUUCACUGUGCAGAGUGGAGAAAGAAGCUCAUUCCAGAUGCAAGAUCUACAGCGUGAAGGAGCUUGAUAGCUAAAGCGAACCUUUAAAACCCAGAGGCCUUUCAGGUUUGCCUGUUUUGUGACAGGGCUCUCCAGACACAGUGAAGAGAGGUCCUGUCCACGGCCCGGACACGGUGGCACUUGGAGACUGGCCCUGGACUCGCCCAGGCCGGCUCUCUGGAGAUUGAGGUUCGCCCCGCCCCCACGCUGCAGCUCGCCCCUCCCCCACACCACGCCCGCCCCUCCCCCACGCCGCAACCGCAGUCUGGGCCGGAAGAGGAAUGCGAAUGCAGAAGGCACGCCCGCCCCGCCCUGCAGGCCUCCGCAGCAGCUGGUUCAGAAACUCAGCCUCACAACCUUGAAAAAAAAGACAGCCAGCCGGCGCCUGUGCUGGUCCAGGCCACCCAAUGGUUACUUCCUGUGCACUGAAGGUUGUCAACCACCCAUGCAGAGUGUAACCUCCCUGAAACCGAGCACAGGGGACAGCCUCCACCCUCAACACCAAUAACCCGACAGAUAGAUGGAAGUGUAAUAUAAGGACGGGAGAGAUGUUAAGGUCUAAGCUCACAAUCAAAAACAUAACUAUAAUUAUCCAGAAAUGUCUACAUUUAUAAGUAAUAUAAAUAUUUAAAUUAUGUCCCUCCCAAAA